GGGUCAGUAGGUUGGUCGUGCCUCCGGUACGUACUGGUCUCACUGAUUCCUCCUUCCUGAAGAACCGUAAUGCCAUUAAUUUGGUGUUGCGGGGAAACAGGACUGUUACUUUGAAAAAAUUAUAGUGUUUAAAGCAAGCUAACGCUUGAAUACAUUAGCAUGGAAUAAUGAAAUAGGACGAUCGAUCCUAUUUUGUUGGUUUCUAGGAUUGACGUA
rnacentral:rRNA from 1 species